rnacentral:rRNA from 1 species
AGUGAACGCUGGCGGUAGGCCUAACACAUGCAAGUCGAACGGCAGCACAGUAAGAGCUUGCUCUUACGGGUGGCGAGUGGCGGACGGGUGAGGAAUACAUCGGAAUCUACUUUUUCGUGGGGGAUAACGUAGGGAAACUUACGCUAAUACCGCAUACGACCUACGGGUGAAAGCAGGGGAUCUUCCGACCUUGCGCGAUUGAAUGAGGCGAUGUCGGAUUAGCUAGUUGGCGGGGUAAAGGCCCACCAAGGCGACGAUCCGUAGCUGGUCUGAGAGGAUGAUCAGCCACACUGGAACUGAGACACGGUCCAGACUCCUACGGGAGGCAGCAGUGGGGAAUAUUGGACAAUGGGCGCAAGCCUGAUCCAGCCAUACCGCGUGGGUGAAGAAGGCCUUCGGGUUGUAAAGCACUUUUGUUGGGAAAGAAAAGCAGCAGGUUAAUACCCCGCUGUUCUGACGGUACCCAAAGAAUAAGCACCGGCUAACUUCGUG